rnacentral:rRNA from 1 species
UCCGUAGGCGGGCAAUUAAGUCAGAGGUGAAAUCCCACAGCUCAACUGUGGAACUGCCUUUGAUACUGGUUGUCUUGAGUUACAGUGAAGUAGAUAGAAUAUGUAGUGUAGCGGUGAAAUGCAUAGAUAUUACAUAGAAUACCGAUUGCGAAGGCAGUCUACUAACUGUAUACUGACGCUAAUGGACGAACGCGUGGGGAGCGAACAGGAUUAGAUACCCUGGUAGUCC